rnacentral:rRNA from 1 species
UGGGGAAUUUUGCACAAUGGGCGCAAGCCUGAUGCAGCGACGCCGCGUGAGGGAUGAAGGCCUUCGGGUUGUAAACCUUUUUCGCUCAUGGUCAAACCGCAGCUUUGGGUUGUGGUGAGGGUAGUGGGUAAAGAAGCGCCGGCUAACUACGUGCCAGCAGCCGCGGUAAUACGUAGGGCGCGAGCGUUGUCCGGAAUUAUUGGGCGUAAAGGGCUUGUAGGCGGUUGGCCGCGUCUGCCGUGAAAUCCUCUGGCUUAACUGGGGGCGUGCGGUGGGUACGGGUUGACUUGAGUGCGGUAGGGGAGACUGGAAUUCCUGGUGUAGCGGUGGAAUGCGCAGAUAUCAGGAGGAACACCGGUGGCGAAGGCGGGUCUCUGGGCCGUUACUGACGCUGAGGAGCGAAAGCGUGGGGAGCGAACAGG